AAUAUUGGGCAAUGGAGGAAACUCUGACCCAGCAACGCCGCGUGAAUGAAGAAGGUCUUCGGAUUGUAAAGUUCUGUGGAUAGGGAUGAAAAAAAUGACAGUACCUAUAGAGCAAGCCACGGCAAACUACGUGCCAGCAGCCGCGGUAAUACGUAGGUGGCAAGCGUUGUCCGGAAUGACUGGGUGUAAAGGGUGCGUAGGCGGUCUUUUAAGUUAGAAGUGUAAUACCUAAGCUUAACUUAGGUGCUACUUCUAAGACUGGAGGACUUGAGUGUGGGAGAGGUAAGCGGAAUUCCUAGUGUAGCGGUGGAAUGCGUAGAUAUUAGGAGGAACACCAGCGGCGAAGGCGGCUUACUGGACCAUAACUGACGCUGAGGCACGAAAGCGUGGGGAGCAAAC
rnacentral:rRNA from 1 species